rnacentral:rRNA from 1 species
AUUGAACGCUGGCGGCAGGCCUAACACAUGCAAGUCGAGCGAACGGCGGACGGGUGAGUAAUGUAUGGGGACUGCCCGAUAUAGGGGGAUAACUACUGGAAACGGUGGCUAAUACCGCAUACUAUCGGAUAACCCAUAUGUGAUUAGCUAGUCGGUGGGGUAAAGGCUCACCUAGGCGACAAUCUCUAGCUGGUCUGAGAGGAUGAUCAGCAACACUGUGACUUAGACACGGCCCAGACUCCUACGGAGGCAGCAGUGGGGAAUAUUGCACAAUGGGCGCAAGCCUGAUGCAGCCAUGCCGCGUGUAUGAAGAAGGCCUUAGGGUUGUAAAGUACUUUCAGCGGGGAGGCGGUACCCGCCCAAGAAGCACCGGCUAACUCCGUGCCAGCAGCCGCGGUAAUUC